UCUUCAAUUACGGGAGGUAAAAAUAUUGAGUUACGCGCGGGAUGUUUCAUCAAAGAGAAAUUCAUAAAACUAAUCGCUUUUCUCUUUUGCAGGAAUUUUUAAUCUUGUAAAUUAGUUAUAAAACGAAACUCUGAUAAAAAGAACGCUUUUAUAAGAUUUUUAACUUUACCAAAGACUUGAGAGAAUGAAUAGGAAAUCCUAAGAAAUUAAUAUUGUGUCAUACAACGAAGCUUUCCACUCCGUUCUGAAUGUCCACCUUUGGUUUGUGUGUCUACUAAGAGACAUGAGGGCUCACGUGCACGCUUUUGUACAGUUUCGAAGUAGAAAAGAACAGAGAAGAGCACGAAGAUGAAGAAGAUGAAGAGUAGGAGGGGGAGAAGAAGAAGAAGAUGAUGAUGAAAAAGGAGGAGGAGGAGAGAAAUGAGACAGAGGCCUGGGUAAGUUAUCACUCGAGUCUGGACCAGGAAUAGUCACACCAUGUGGUGGCAGCCGUGGGACUGACUAUUUUCGGGUAAAGACAAAUUUGGCGCGGCGAAGCGCUACGCGAGGGAGCCGAGAAGCUGAGCCGAGCCGAGCCGAGCCGUCGUGUGGUAGCCGUCUCGAGUGUAAGCUUACAUCUGCACACGACGAGGGGGGUGUCGGCUCGUCGUCACUCGAGAGGAGAGGCCAAUGGGAUCUGUGCAGCCAUUUUUAGAGGGCUCGUUCCAAAGCGAUCGUGCUCGAGGCUUUGGCAGCAUUCAGUCCGAAGCGGUCAUCCGGGUUGGCAGGAUUUGAAGUCUCGAGGAAAUCAGCCCGAGAAACUCUCUCUCUCUCUCUCUCUCUCUCUCUCUCUCUCUCAGCCAUUUAGUAAUAAUUUCAGAAGAAAUCAGGUGUUAAGUCAAGAGGACCUUUCGGAUUUUCAAUCGUUCGAUUUGAUUGCAGCGGCGAGGAAGGCGAGACACGGAAGAAAAUGGGUGAGCGAGCGAGGAAGAAGACGCAUGCGGCUGGAUGCUGUUUUCGAGCCCGAAAUAGGACCCAAGCACAACCGCAGCCAUGUUUCCAGAAAUAAGUUCUCCGGUUACAGAAUCUAUUUCCGGUGCGCGGGCCGCCGACCGGUGCCCGAUUGCACGACGAUCGGUGACGUAUUCGGCUGCAGGUGUAACCUGUAACUCACGUUGCAGGAUCGUACACGCGAUAUUUGGUUUUGGUGUCCGGAAAAAAGAUUCAGUGUUGGUCGUAACGUUGUAACAAUAGUCGGCCAGUGACGUCAGUGAUUACGGUGAGAUCGACUAUGGUUCACGUAAUGAGAACGAGCGUAUUCUGAUCGUCGCAAGCGCACCGUGUAAAUAACGCGAUUAUAGGUGAAUGUGAAGUUACAAUUUGCCUUGUAAUAAUGAGACUAUUAUUAUUAAGGCUGUUAUUAUUAAAUAUUUGAAGAA